UACAGAGGUCCCAAGCGUUGUUCGGAUUCACUGGGCGUAAAGGGUGCGUAGGCGGUCGGGUAAGUCUGAUGUGAAAUCUCACAGCCUUAACUGUGAAACUGCAUUGGAUACUAUCCGGCUCGAGGAAUGGAGGGGAGACUGGAAUACUUGGUGUAGCAGUGAAAUGCGUAGAUAUCAAGUGGAACACCAGUGGCGAAGGCGAGUCUCUGGACAUUUCCUGACGCUGAGGCACGAAAGCCAGGGGAGCAAACGGG
rnacentral:rRNA from 1 species